rnacentral:tRNA from 2 species
GCCGACUUAGCUCAGUUGGUAGAGCAGCUGAUUCGUAAUCAGCAGGUCGCGGGUUCAAGUCCCGCAGUCGGCU